AUAAAAGUAGCAAAUACGUGCAUUAGGUUUAAGCCCUAAAUAUGAAGAUUUUUAAGCUCUUUCUUUUAUU
rnacentral:tRNA from 1 species